rnacentral:rRNA from 1 species
AAACCAACAGGGAUUGCCUUAGUAACUGCGAGUGAAGCGGCAAGAGCUCAAAUUUGAAAUCUGGCACCUUCGGUGUCCGAGUUGUAAUUUGUAGAAGCAUCUUUUGGAUUGGUCCUUGCAUAUGUUCCUUGGAACAGGACAUCAUAGAGGGUGAGAAUCCCGUUCAUGGUGGGGAAUCCAAUUCUUUGUAAAGUGCUUUCGAAGAGUCGAGUUGUUUGGGAAUGCAGCUCUAAGUGGGUGGUAAAUUCCAUCUAAAGCUAAAUAUUGGCGAGAGACCGAUAGCGAACAAGUACAGUGAUGGAAAGAUGAAAAGAACUCCGAAAGGAGAGUGAAAAAGGACGUGAAAUUGUUGAAAGGGAAGUGCUUGAGAUCAGUCUUAAGGUUUAGUGAUCAGUCUUCCUUUUGGUUGGUGCACUCUCUAUUUCUUAGGCCAACAUCAGUUUUGGCGGCAGGAUAAUGACAUUGGAAUGUGGCUCUUUCGGGAGUGUUAUAGCCUUUGUUGAUACUGCCUGCUUGGACUGAGGACCGCGCUUUUGCUAGGAUGUUGGCAUAAUGAUCUUAAGCAGC